rnacentral:rRNA from 1 species
GACAGAGGGGGCGAGCGUUGCUCGGAAUUACUGGGCGUAAAGGGCGCGUAGGCGGAAUGGCAAGUCGGUCGUGAAAUCCUUCGGCUCAACCGAAGAACGUCGAUCGAAACUGCCGUUCUUGAGGAUUGCAGAGGAGACUGGAAUUCCCGGUGUAGCGGUGAAAUGUGUAGAGAUCGGGAGGAACACCGGUGGCGAAGGCGGGUCUCUGGGCAAUUCCUGACGCUGAGGCGCGAAAGCGUGGGGAGCAAACGGG